ensembl:lncRNA
UGUAACUGCCCGCCCCAGCCGUGCGGCGUGACUGAGGUGUCGGCAGCCCUCCUGGAAGCGUUGUGUCUCUCACGAUGAUGAAGAAAAUGGGCACAGAAAUAACGAUGCGUUGGCUGAUCCUUCAUUUUUCCCCCAGCCUGUCAUCCCCGAGUGCCAGGAUUUCAGAUGUCUUCAGUCUAAAGUCUUGUACACUACUUGUCUUGUAAAUCGGGUCUUCAGUUUUGAGGAAUUCAUUUGGCAGAACUUAUAUCAGGUGGCUGAAUUAGUAGGAUUGCAACGUUAUUAGUUUAAAACGCACACUAGAAUUUGUGAAGCUUCUAAAUCAGAGCCUGCUGAAAACACUGUUUUGGUUUAAGCUUAGGAAGUGUGAGAUAGAGGAGCGGAUGGUGAGGUGGGUUGAGGUCUGGCUGACUGGCAGAGCUCAGAGUUGGCAUCGGUGGUGCAGUCUGGUUGGAAGCCUGUAACUAGCUGUGUUCCUCAGGCAUUGGUGCUGGGUCCAGUCUUGUUCAGUAUCCCUUCAUCAAUGACCUCAAUGAAGGGAUGGAGUCCACCCUCAGCAAGUUUGCUAAUGAUACAAACCUGGGAGGAGUGGCUGACAUACCAGAAUGCUGUGCUGUUGUUCAGGAAGCCCCAGACAGAAUGGAGACUUGAGAAGAAAGGAACCUUAUGAGGUUCAACAAGAGCAGCCGUAGAGUCCUAUGCCUGAAGAGCAAUAACUGCAUGCAUAAAUGCUGAUUAGGGGCUGGCCUGCUGGAAAAAGCUCUGCAGAGAAGGACCUGGGUGUCCUGGUCGACAGCAGGUUAGCCAUGAGUCUGCAAUGUGGCCUUGUGGCCCAGAAGGCCAAUGGUAUCCUGGGGUGCAUUAAAAAGAGCAUGGCCAGCAGGUCAAGGGAGGUAAUCCCUCUACUCUGCCCCGGUGAGGUCACAUCUGGUGUACUGUGUCCAGUUCUGGACUCCUUCAUUAAAAAAAGAUAGUGAUAAUCUAGAGAGAGCCCAGUGGAAGGCCACAAAGAUGAUUCAGGGCCUGGAGCAUCUCCCUUAUGAAGAUAGGCUGAGAGCCCUGGGACUGUUCAUCUUGGAGAAGAGAUGGCUGAGGGGGGAUCUUAUCAAUGUUUAUAAAUAUCCAGUGGGUGGGGGUCAAGUGGAUGGGGCCAGGCUCUUUUCAGUGGUGUGUGGUGACAAGAACAAGAGGCAAUGGGCAAAAACAGAAACACGGGAAGUUCCAUGUGAACAGGAGGAAAUACUUCUUUACUUUGAGGGUGACAGCACUGGAAUUGCCCAGAGAGACUGUGGAGUCUCCUUCUCUGGAGAUAUUCAAGAUCCACCUGGACACUUUGCUGCAUAACCUACUGUAGGGAACCUGCUUUAUGUAGGACUUGAUGAUCUCCAGAGGUUUCUUCCAACCACAACAGUUCAGCAUCCUUGAAUGUAUUCUACUUGCCUGUUAACUUCCUUGUUCUUUCCCAUUGCAUUCUUGAAAUAAAUCAGUGCUGUUGGUAGCACAAAGAGAGCAGCUUGCACAAGCCACAUGGCACUUAAAGGAACUUUGACACCAAUAAAAACAACGUGCUUGUUUUUUCUAGCACUUUCCAGAACUGUUCACUCCUCCUUUUACUUCAUGCUUCAUUUUAGGAAAGUAAUGUGGAUGACACUGAAGAAACAUUGCGAAUCCUGGUUAAUAUGGCUCGAUGUUUUAAAAGUGUGCUGUUGUAGUAGGAAGUCGGUAGUAGUUAAAUGGUGUGAACAGCAAGACUGGGUAUAAACAAUUAUAUUCACCCUUUUGAUUAUUUCGUCCAUUGUGGUCCUUUUCAACCCAGACCAUUCUAUGAUAUUACACAGCUUUUACAACAAGCCCUUCCAGUUUGGACAAUCCUGCUAUGUAUAUUGACCACAUAGAUAAGCAGUGUCAGACUGUGUAUUUCAGAAGUGAACUAACGUCCUAAAAUAGGAGAUAUUUAGAUUGUCCAAUCCCCUCUGAGUUAACACAGCCCGGAAAAGAUGUUUAUUGAAGGCUUGAACAGUUCAAUAUAACAAUUCAGAUAAAAAUCUAUCAUCUUUUUAAUGCAACAUUUUAAGUCAGGAGGGGAGCAUUCUUGUGUGUAGCAGCUCUGAUCACCUCCGAAUUACUAAACUGAUCUCCGCAUGGCACACACAUAUUGACAGUGGUUCCAGGGUGGUUCUAAGGGGGAAACAAAGAGUUUAUAGAACUCUGACUCACGGGAGAGAAGGAAGAUGUUUUUAAGCAUUCAUUUUUCUGUUCAAAAGUCACUGCCUUGAAGAUUUCUUGCUAACAGAACUGCGGGUCCUUUCGUUCCUCUCCUGAAGAAAGAAGAGAUGUGCAUCUUAGCUCUACAAAUGGAAAAUUCACUAAGUGAAUCACAAAAAGCUGAGGUGACAGGUGGUGCAGGAGGUUGGUGCCUUGUGUUUAUUGCGCCUCCGUGCUUCUUCUAGUUUCCCUCUGCUCUUCCGUGCUUCCUACUGGCCCUGUCCUGGCAUGGGUUGUCUGUGGACUGCAGUCUCUCAGGGGUGAUCCUGUCCUGUAUGGGUCUGUUGUGGCCGCAGUCACACAGUUGGGAUUUUAAACAAUUGUAUACAUGUAUUCUAAUAUCUCUUAUCAUAAAUUAAAGCUUUUUGAGGUUUGGAAGCUCCAUAAAUGUCUGCUUCCUGCUGUGAGUAUCCUUUGAAUAGUGUUUAUGUUUGUUUGAAGCUGCACCUUGUUACUUCUUUCUCCUGUUUUUCUAUUUCACAGUAGAC